GCCAUUUAAUAUCAUUUUUUUUCUCAGAACAAAAUACAUAUAGUUUGUGAAUAAAUACUACAGUAUGUCAAAGGCACUUAUGUCACAAGACUUAAUUUUUUUUUUCAUGUUUUAUAUAUAGUCACUGGACAGUAGUUUAAAAUAUACUGUGCUGGAUGGAUAUACAGACUUUGGUUUGUCAGGAAUUUAAGAAAAACAGUACAAAUAACCAUUGCUUUUAAAGCACUGCAAAAUUGGGUUUGAGUCAAUCAAGUUUAUAUUUUGAAAUAGUGACAAU